UGCACCGAAGCUGCGGCAGCGAACGUAUCACUUAAAGCGAUUCAGCGGGUUACGAUUGACGGAGCGAAGCGACGUCAAAGCGUAUACAAAGUCGAGUCGGUUUAAGGAUACGUUCGUUGGGUAGGGGAGCGUUCUGUAAGCCUGUGAAGGUGUGUCGUGAGGCAUGCUGGAGGUAUCAGAAGUGCGAAUGCUGACAUAAGUAACGAUAAAGCGGGUGAAAAGCCCGCUCGCCGGAAGACCAAGGGUUCCUGUCCAACGUUAAUCGGGGCAGGGUGAGUCGACCCCUAAGGCGAGGCCGAAAGGCGUAGUCGAUGGGAAACGGGUUAAUAUUCCCGUACUUGGUGUUACUGCGAAGGGGGGACGGAGAAGGCUAUGUUGGCCGGGCGACGGUUGUCCCGGUUUAAGCGUGUAGGUGUGUGUUCCAGGUAAAUCCGGUUCACUUUAACACUGAGGCGUGACGACGAGGCACUACGGUGCUGAAGCAACAAAUGCCCUGCUUCCAGGAAAAGCCUCUAAGCAUCAGGUAACAUCAAAUCGUACCCCAAACCGACACAGGUGGUCAGGUAGAGAAUACCAAGGCGCUUGAGAGAACUCGGGUGAAGGAACUAGGCAAAAUGGUGCCGUAACUUCGGGAGAAGGCACGCUGACACGUAGGUGAAGUGAUUUACUCAUGGAGCUGAAGUCAGUCGAAGAUACCAGCUGGCUGCAACUGUUUAUUAAAAACACAGCACUGUGCAAACACGAAAGUGGACGUAUACGGUGUGACGCCUGCCCGGUGCCGGAAGGUUAAUUGAUGGGGUCAGCGCAAGCGAAGCUCCUGAUCGAAGCCCCGGUAAACGGCGGCCGUAACUAUAACGGUCCUAAGGUAGCGAAAUUCCUUGUCGGGUAAGUUCCGACCUGCACGAAUGGCGUAAUGAUGGCCAGGCUGUCUCCACCCGAGACUCAGUGAAAUUGAACUCGCUGUGAAGAUGCAGUGUACCCGCGGCAAGACGGAAAGACCCCGUGAACCUUUACUAUAGCUUGACACUGAACAUUGAGCCUUGAUGUGUAG
rnacentral:rRNA from 1 species